rnacentral:rRNA from 1 species
UGUAGCAAUACAAGGCAGACGGCUCAGUAACGCGUAGUCAACCUAACCUAUGGACGGGAAUAACCUCGGGAAACUGAGAAUAAUGCCCGAUAGAACACUAUGCCUGGAAUGGUUUGUGUUCCAAAUGAUUUAUCGCCAUAGGAUGGGACUGCGGCCUAUCAGUUUGUUGGUGAGGUAAUGGCCCACCAAGACUAUUACAGGUACGGGCUCUGAGAGGAGUAGCCCGGAGAUGGGUACUGAGACACGGACCCAGGCCCUAUGGGGCGCAGCAGGCGAGAAAACUUUGCAAUGUGCGAAAGCACGACAAGGUUAAUCCGAGUGGUUUGUGCUAAACAGACCUUUUGUUAGUCCUAGAAACACUAACGAAUAAGGGGUGGGCAAGUUCUGGUGUCAGCCGCCGCGGUAAAACCAGCACCUCAAGUGGUCAGGAUGAUUAUUGGGCCUAAAGCAUCCGUAGCCGGCUCAGUAAGUUUUCGGUUAAAUCUGUAUGCUCAACAUACAGGCUGCCGGGAAUACUGCAGAGCUAGGGAGUGGGAGAGGUAGACGGUACUCGGUAGGAAGGGGUAAAAUCCUUUGAUCUAUUGAUGACCACCUGUGGCGAAGGCGGUCUACCAGAACACGUCCGACGGUGAGGGAUGAAAGCUGGGGGAGCAAACCGGAUUAGAUACCCGGGUAGUCCCAGCUGUAAACUAUGCAAACUCAGUGAUGCAUUGGCUUGUGGCCAAUGCAGUGCUGCAGGGAAGCCGUUAAGUUUGCCGCCUGGGAAGUACGUACGCAAGUAUGAAACUUAAAGGAAUUGGCGGGGGAGCACCACAAGGGGUGAAGC